AUUGAACGCUGGCGGCAGGCCUAACACCUGCAAGUCGAGCGGAGCGGCGGACGGGCGAUUAAUGCCUAGGAAUCUGCCUGGUAGUGGGGGAUAACGUCCGGCAACGUGCGCUAAUCCCGCCUCCUAUCCGAUGCGCCUAGGUCGGAUUAGCUAGUUGGUGGGGUAAAGGCCUACCAAGGCGACGAUCCGUAACUGGUCUGAGAGGAUGAUCAGUCACACGGGAACUUAGACACGGUCCAGACGCCGACGGGAGGCAGCAGUGGGGAAUAGUGGACAAUGGGCGAAAGCCUGAUCCAGCCAUGCCGCGUGUGUGAAGAAGGUCUUCGGAUUGUAAAGCACUUUAAGUUGGGAGGCGUUACCAACAGAAUAAGCACCGGCUAACUUCGUGCCAGCAGCCGCGGUAAUUC
rnacentral:rRNA from 1 species